rnacentral:lncRNA from 10 species
CUCACAUUUUAUGUACCUCAUACAACCCUUAAUGAGGGAGAAGAAAAGGAAAAAUCAAUUAGGUAGACAGUUAAACCUGGUCCUCAGAGAAGCAUCCUGCCUGAAAAAUCAUGGUUACAGGCAAAAAUAGAGCAGCCUGGGGAAAACUCACACUGCAUCUGCACAGAUAAGCAGGCAGGGUCCAGCACAGAAGCCUUUUGUUCUUUGUGUGAUUAAUGGGCUCCCAGGAAAGUUUCCUCCAUUUUUCAGACACGUACAUGGUGGAAUCCAUGGGAACUUGCACAGGGAAGGGAAAUGGGGCUUGCCUAAAACAAACCCACAGUUAUACAAACAAGAGCAGCUGUGUUUUGUGCUUACCUGGUGACAUCCCGCCUGCAUAUACAGGAGGCCUUAUACAAAGAGCUUUUCAGAUAAGAAAGUUUAAUCAGACAGCUACAGAGAUGAGAGGAAUUUCUCAUGAAAGCUUUUGGAUUCAACUGUAAAAGUGGCAACCCACUCAGACUCCCCUCUCUGCUGUGGAGAACUUUCUUCUUUUGCUUAUUAAACUUUCGCUCCAACUUCACCCUUUGUGUCCAUGCUCCUUAAUUCUCUUGGUCAUAAGACAACAAGCUCGGAUAAUGCCUUAGAUGAUACCAGUGACCACUGACCUGUUUCACUUAUGUUGUACAUUAAGUUAUGCUGCUUUGUUCUGAUUUGCCAAAACAAAAGCAAAAACAGACUGCAGUUCGUUCUCCCCCUCCAUUCACUAAGCAUAUGAACUAGAGUGAGCAGGAGAAGAGAAAAAUAAAUCUGCUCUUCUUUCUUUCAGGUUCUGUGUGCCUCUCUAUGUAUAAACCCUCAGCUCACUGAGUGUGAGUCAGUCUGCUGGUCGAAGGUGCACUUUUUUUUUUUUUGCACAAUCUGGAUGUUAUGCCAGUUUUCAAGUGACAAGACUGGAGAAAAAAUAGACUGUAUUGAACUUACUGAGAGCUGCUCACAUUAGCUGUCUCGUGGCAUGAGUGGAGUAGAGUUGCCGGAUAAAAUGCAGGGUGCCCAGUGCUGCAGUCAGAAUGUGUGAGUCCCUCAUAAUUUAUAUGUUGAAAAACUAAUUACCAAUGUGAUGGUAUUAGGUGAAGCUUUUGGAAGAGCAUUAGAUCAUGAGACCUCAAGCCUCAUGAAUAGGACGAACGUCAUUAUAAAAGAGGACCCAGGGAGCUGCUUUCCACUUUUCCACCAUAUGAAGCUAUAGCCAGAAGACAGCCCUCACCAAACACCGAAUCUACUGGCGCCUUAAUCUUGGACUUUCUAGCCUCCAGUGCUUUGAGAAAUAAGUUUCUGUUGUUUAUAUGCUGCCUACUGUAUGGUGUUUUAUUAUAGUAGCCCAAAUAAAUGAUGACAUCCUGUUAACUUUGAGUUGCAGAUAAACAACAAAUACUUUUUCAGUAUGUUUAGAUUUGUGAAAUUUGACAACCCUACCUUAAAUCCUAUAGUUUAAGGGAUAUUUAAAUAAUUUUCCAUGGGUAUUUUUGAUAUUAACUGAUUUCCAUUUCAUGUUCUGAUUUUUUAAUGUAACCCUCAUGUGAGAUAAAACCAUUUAUACUUUUAUAAAAUUCAUCCAUAGCCAUCAUCUCAUUAGAUCUCCACAACAAUCUUCAUAGGGACUCAAAUUUUAUCUUAUGCAUCUCUAUUUUCCAGAUAGGGAUGUUGAUAUUCAUAAAGGAUAAUCAUGUUAACUCAAGACCAUUUGGAGAGUUAAGAGGCGGGGUUGGGACUUAAAUCUAAGUUGUCUAUCUUUUAGUCCAAUGUUCUCCCUUCCACAAACUCACUCCUGCAUGGGAAUGAAUAAUAAUUGGUUAAUCAGAUGAAUAUAUUCUUUAUAUAUAUAUUUAUAUGUGUGAUAUAUACUAUACAUUAUAAUACUAUAAAAUAAAAUUAUAUAAUAAUAUUACCUCUUUGAUAAUGUUGUGCCUUAACAUAGUUAAAAUGUUUGCUUUUCUUCAAGAGCCUAAACACAGGUGAUGUAGGAUGUGGUAGCCUUCUACUGAGAGAUUCAACAGUCCCAUCUGAACACCUUAAAAUUUCAGCAUGUAGAUUAUCACCCACUGAAAGCAUGCAGUGGCAUAAUAAAAUUGGUGUAUUUAGCUCCCAUUUAUAAGUGAGAACAUGUGGUAUUUGGUUUUCUGUUUCUGUGUUAGUUUGCUAAAGAUAAUGGCCUCCAGCUGCAUCCAUGUCCCUGCAAAGAGCAUGAUCUCAUUCUUUUUUAUGGAUGCAUAGUACUCCUGGACAUUUGCGACAACACACACUGGUGCCUUUCAGAGGGUGGAGGGUGGGAGGAGGAGAAAGAUCAGGAAAAAUAACUAAUGGGUACUAGGCUUAAUACCUGGGUGGUGAAAUAAUCUUUAUAACAAACCCCCAUGACACAAGUUUACCUAUGUAACAAACCUACACUUGUACCCCUUAACUUAAAAUAAA